rnacentral:rRNA from 1 species
GAUAGUCUCCUGGGGAAUCCAUCGGCUCACCGAUGGGCAUUCAGGAGAUACUGGCAACCUAGGGACCGGGAGAGGUGAGAGGUACUCCAGGGGUAGGAGUGAAAUCUUGUAAUCCUUGGAGGACCACCUGUGGCGAAGGCGUCUCACCAGAACGGACUCUGACGGCGAGGGACGAAAGCUAGGGGCACGAACCGGAUUAGAUACCCGGGUAGUCCUAGCCUGUAAACGAUACUCGCUAGGUGUCUGCCACGACCGCGACCGUUGUCGGUGCCGAAGAGAAGUCGUGAAACGAGCCACCUGGGAAGUACGGCCGCAAGGCUGAAACUUAAAGGAAUUGGCGGGGGAGCACCACAACGGGUGGAGCUUGCGGUUUAAUUGGAUUCAACGCCGGAAAUCUUACCGGAACCGACAGCUGUAUGAUGGCCAGGCUGAAGACUUUGCCUGAUUAGCUGAGAGGUGGUGCAUGGCCGUCGUCAGUUCUCACUGU